GGGCAAUUAGCUCAGUUGGUCAGAGCGCUACCUCGACACGGUAGAGGUCGCAGGUUCAAACCCUGCAUUGCCCA
rnacentral:tRNA from 1 species